AGAAAAGGGAGGGGGAGAGAGGUAGGGAAGAGGAAACGGAGAGGGAGAAAAGGAAAAGGAAUGAGGGAAGAGUGAGGAAAUGCAAUGGAAGUGUGAGAAAAUGAGCGGAGGGUAGAAAUGGGAUGGAAAGGUGGGAGAAAAUGGGGAAGGUUGGGAAGAGGAGAGAAAAAGGAGGGGAAAAUGGGGGGGAAUUCGGGGAGAAAAGGAAGAAUAGGGAGAGAGGAAUGGGAGCAGUGGGAUAAAGGUGGGGGAAAUGGGAUCAGAAACGUGGAUGGAAUAAAGCUGAGGAAAAUGAGGGAAAGAUGGAAUAAAUGACAGAAAAUGGGGCAAAAUGGAACAAAGGUGAGAAGAAAUCGAGGGGAGAAAUGGAAUUAUGAAAGAGAACGGAAUAAAGAUGGGAAAAAACGGAGUAAAAACGGAAUAAAAAAUGAGGAAAAAGGGAAUGUGAGAGAAAAAUGGAGGAAAAAUGGAGUAAAAAUGAGGAGAAUGGAAUCAAGGUGAGAAAAAACGAGGGGAAAAUGGAAUCGAGAGGAGAAAAAAAUGGCAUUAAAACCUGGAAUAAAGAUGAGAAAAAAAAAAAAGAGGGAAAAGACGGAAAAGAAUAAAAGAAAAAGGGGCGAAAAAGCAGCGAAAGACUGCAAAAUGAGAGCAAAGUGAGGGGCAAAAAGGGGCCGACGGCGCAUUGCGUGCUCACUGCAGAGGCAAACAACGGUGCCGCAGCCGCACGUGGGUCGGUGCACGCAGCACCAAUGGCCAAAAGGUUGGGGGUUUGUGUCGCUGCCGCGUGGUUUUGGGCCGAAAAAGGCCGAUUUUGGGGCGCGGAGGUGAGUAUGGGGCGAGCGGCGGUUGCUUAUUUGUGCCUGUUAACAAACUCUGGUUUUGUGUGCUGCAGGUGUGAAAGGCAGCGACACUUUGCAAUGCUCCGCCUUUAUCCGCAGCUUUUGGGUUCAAAAAAAAGCAAUGAAGAGAGAGAGGAGAAAGGGAGGGGGGAGCGUCCUGUGGGGGCUCUGCUGCAAGCAGCCGGCGAGGCCAAAAAGGGCCCCAGAAAGGCCAGAAAAGGCCCCAAAAUGGCCAAAAGAAACCCCACAAAGGCCAAAAAAGACCUCAGGAAGGCCAAAAAAGGCCCCAAAAGGGCCAAAAAAAGCCCCAAAAGGCCAAAAAGGGCCCCAAAACAGCCAGAAAAGGCCCCAGAAAGGCCAAAAAAGGCUCUAAAAGGGCCCAAAAAAAUCCCCAGAAAGGCCAAAAAGGGCUCUAAAAGAGCCAAAAAAGACCCCAGAAAGACCAGAAAAGGCCCCUGAAAGACCAAAAAAGACUCCAAAAGGGCCAAAAUUACCCCCAAAAGGCACCAAAAGGGCCAAGAAAGGCCGAAAAAGACCCCAAAAGGGCCAAAAACGGCCCCAAAAAGGCCCCCAAAAAAGGGCCACAGGGCUUUUAUUUUUGAGGUCAGAAAGUGCCAAAGAGCCAUUUUUGGAGCGGCCCCCCCCAAAAAAAGGCAGAUUUGGGUUUUUCCCAACUUUUGGAUACAGUAAAAUGAGAUGGGGGGGGGGGGGCGGUCCUACAGGGGGGGGGUCUGCAGAAAGCAGGGAAAAAACCCCAUAGAAAAACGCCCCCCAAAGGGCCACAUUGCCCGGGGUUCAUUUUUUUAGGGUCAAACGGCCGUUUGAUUUGGGCAUUUUUGUGGUUUUUGGUUUUUUUUUUCCCCAACUUUAGGAUUCAUUUUGGGGGGGGGGGAACGACCCACAACCGUGUGGGGUGUGCGGAAAGCAGGGAAAACGACCCCAAAAAAAGGGGGCCAAAGCCUUUUUGUACGCCGGGCCCAAAGGUGCCCCGCAGGGAUCCUUCAGAACGGCCGCAAAGAGCUCCAAUCGGCGUUUUUAGCCAUUUUCUGACCCCCCCCCCCCCCAAAAUCCCACCCAAUCCCACCCCACCCCCCCAUUGGGCAGCGCUGCGUGCGAGAGGAGCGUCAACGACGGAUGGAGACCCCCAAAACCCCCCCCAAAAUACCCCAAAACCGCCCCCCCCCCCCCCCCCCCCCCCCCCCCAAAACAAAGCACAGAGGGGCUUCAGGAUGGAGGAAAAACGCCGGUUUUACCCCCCCCCAAAAAAAAUAACAACAAAAUAAAGCAAUUCAGGGAUUAUAAAACUGCCCCCCCCCCCCUUCAAAAGCAUAAAAUGAACGAAAAACCAAAAAAAAAAACAAAAAAAACCCAAAAAAAAAAGCUUCAUAUCUUCUAAUUUAUCUCCUCAGCGGUGGUGAGCGUGGUGGCUUCAAUAAAUUUGGUGGUAAGUGGCAAGAGUUGAGCGUUUGAACCCAAAAAGGGAACGUAGCGGCCAACGCAGGGAAAGAGUGUAUUUGUGUGCUGUAACCCCACUUCUCUCCGCAACAGGGGCCGCGUUUUGGGUGGAAAAAGGCCCGAAAAGGGGCAAAAUAAAAGGGCUCUGCCCCCCCUCACCCUCCUCACAGUGAGCAAUGGGAGAUGGUGGCGGUUUUGGGUGGAAAAAGGCCCGAAAAGGGGCAGAAUAAAAGGGCUCUGCCCCCCCCCUCCCACUCCACCCUCCCCAUGGUGAGCAAUGGGAGAUGGCGGUGGUUUUGGGUGGAAAAAGGCCCGAAAAGGGGCAGAAUAAAAGGGCUCUGCCCUCCCCCUCCCACCCCACCCUCCCCAUGGUGAGCAAUGGGAGAUGGCGGUGGUUUUGGGUGGAAAAAGGCCUGAAAAGGGGCAAAAUAAAAGGGCUCUGUCCCCCCCCCCUCCACCCCACCCUCCCCAUGGUGAGCCAUGGGAGAUGGCGGUGGUUUUGGGUGAAAAAAGGCCCGAAAAGGGGAAGAAUAAAAGGGCUCUGUCCCCCCCCCUCCUUCCACCCCACCCUCCCCAUGGUGAGCAAUGGGAGAUGGCGGUGGUUUUGGGUGGAAAAAGGCCUGAAAAGGGGCAAAAUAAAAGGGCUCUGUCCCCCCCCCCUCCACCCCACCCUCCCCAUGGUGAGCCAUGGGAGAUGGCGGUGGUUUUGGGUGAAAAAAGGCCCGAAAAGGGGAAGAAUAAAAGGGCUCUGUCCCCCCCCCUCCUUCCACCCCACCCUCCCCAUGGUGAGCAAUGGGAGAUGGUGGCGGUUUUGGGUGGAAAAAGGCCCAAAAAGGGGCAGAAUAAAAGGGCUCUGCCCCCCACCCCCGUCCCCAUGGUGAGCAAUGGGAGAUUUGGGUGGAAAAGUGGCAUUUUUGGGGGUGGGGGAGCAAAAAAUAACCACCCCCCCCCCCCCCAACAGACUUCAGUCAAUAACCCCAAAUCCGCCACGGUUGGAGCGUGAAGGCAGAAAU
rnacentral:lncRNA from 1 species